GGGGAUUGUGCUGUCUGGAUAAAUGUUCACUGCUCUCUAUAAGGGGAAUGGAUUGAGGUCACGGCACUAAAGCAUCUCCCUCAGUUCAAAGUGAUCUCCCAGAGAUCUUAGUGUGGCCGAGCUUUUCUGCUCCAGGUGGUCCACAGCCAGCCACCUGUGUUGUCUUUGUGGCGCUGUCAUCUGUCUCCGGGCAGGCUUUGUGGGGUUGCCAGUUUGAGGACAGGCCUGGUGAGCACCGAUGAUGGAGAUAGUGCUUUCUGCUGCUGCUUCUCCCAGACUCUCACAGGACUCCAGUUUUACCGGACACACGGAGCAAUGUUUACACCCCUAGCCAGUCCAAAAGAGAAAUCCUGGGAAACUGCUUCAUUCCUUAUUGUUUGUAUGGUGUUAGCUCAAAGUGUGAUGUUCUGUUGUAAAAUUAAUUCACAAGUAUGUAAACAGCUUUCUGACAAUUUAUGUUAAGCAAUGUAUGUAGCAUGUGGAAUCCAAAUAAAUGCUGAUAUCAGAACUGAA